rnacentral:rRNA from 1 species
UACGUAGGGGGCAAGCGUUGUCCGGAAUCAUUGGGCGUAAAGAGCGUGUAGGCGGCCUGGUAGGUCCGCUGUGAAAACUGGAGGCUCAACUUCCAGACGUCGACGGAAACCGUGUGGCUAGAGUCCGGAAGAGGAGAGUGGAAUUUCUGGUGUAGCGGUGAAAUGCGCAGAUAUCAGGAAGAACACCAAUGGCGAAGGCAGCUCUCUGGGACGGUACUGACGCUGAGACGCGAAAAGCGUGGGGGAGCGAACAGG